rnacentral:rRNA from 1 species
UACGAAGGGGGCUAGCGUUGCUCGGAAUCACUGGGCGUAAAGGGCGCGUAGGCGGACUUUUAAGUCAGGGGUGAAAUCCUGAGGCUCAACCUCAGAACUGCCUUUGAUACUGAGGGUCUCGAGACCGGUAGAGGUAAGUGGAACUGCGAGUGUAGAGGUGAAAUUCGUAGAUAUUCGCAAGAACACCAGUGGCGAAGGCGGCUUACUGGACCGGUUCUGACGCUGAGGCGCGAAAAGCGUGGGGAGCAAACAGG